AGAUGAUGAUGAUGAGGAGGAGGAGGAGGAAGGGAAAGGGAGGAGGAGGAGGUAAAAAAAGAGAGAAGAUGGAGGGAGUGUUUGUGCCUGUUGAAUGUUGGCGCUGCCUCGAGAGCAGAUGUAGAAGCAGAGAGAAAAAUAUCUUCCUCUAAGCCUGAACCACUAACAUACACACUUUACUGUAAUUUGCUCCCCCUCUCCACCCCCUCCUCCUCCUCCUCCUCCUCCCCUUGUUGC